rnacentral:SRP_RNA from 1 species
GCUGGGCGCGGUGGCGGGCACCUGUAGUCCCAGCUACUCAGGAGGCUGAGGCGGGAGAAUGGCGUGAACCCGGGAGGCGAGGCUUGCAGUGCAGUGAGCCGAGAUUGCGCCACUGCACUCCAGCCUGGGUGACAGAGGAGACUCNNNNNNNNNNNNNUUUUUUUUUGAGACGGAGUCUCCUCUGUCGCCCAGGCUGGAGUGCAGUGGCGCAAUCUCGGCUCACUGCACUGCAAGCCUCGCCUCCCGGGUUCACGACAUUCUCCUGCCUCAG